UGGGGAAUAUUGCACAAUGGGCGCAAGCCUGAUGCAGCGACGCCGCGUGGGGGAUGACGGCCUUCGGGUUGUAAACCUCUUUCGGUACCGACGAAGCCUUUGGGUGACGGUAGGUAUUAAAGAAGCACCGGCCAACUACGUGCCAGCAGCCGCGGUAAUACGUAGGGUGCGAGCGUUGUCCGGAAUUACUGGGCGUAAAGAGCUCGUAGGCGGCUUGUCGCGUUGUUCGUGAAAUUUUACCGCUCAACGGUGAACUUGCGGGCGAUACGGGCAGGCUAGAGUACUGCAGGGGAGACUGGAAUUCCUGGUGUAGCGGUGAAAUGCGCAGAUAUCAGGAGGAACACCGGUGGCGAAGGCGGGUCUCUGGGCAGUAACUGACGCUGAGGAGCGAAAGCGUGGG
rnacentral:rRNA from 1 species